rnacentral:rRNA from 1 species
CCCGCGACUCGACGAGAAGUCCAUUGAACCUUAUCAUUUAGAGGAAGGAGAAGUCGUAACAAGGUUUCCGUAGGUGAACCUGCGGAAGGAUCAUUG